AUUGAACGCUGGCGGCAUGCUUUACACAUGCAAGUCGAACGGCAGCGCGGGCUUCGGCCUGGCGGCGAGUGGCGAACGGGUGAGUAAUACAUCGGAACGUGCCCAGUAGUGGAGGAUAGCUCGGCGAAAGCCGGAUUAAUACCGCAUACGACCUGAGGGGGAAAGCGGGGGAUCUUCGGACCUCGCGCUAUUGGAGCGGCCGAUGGCAGAUUAGCUAGUUGGUGGGGUAAAGGCCUACCAAGGCGACGAUCUGUAGCUGGUCUGAGAGGACGACCAGCCACACUGAGACUGAGACGCGACCCAGGCACUGAGGGGCGGCACAGACGCGGACUGUAGGCAGCAGGGGGGAAUAUUGCUCAAGGAGCGCAGGGUGGAUGCAGAAGGCCUGCGUGUGGGAUAGCGCCUUUGGCGUUGUCGACAACGACUGGGACAAUACAAGGUUGUGAUGACGGUACCCGCAGAAUAAGCACCGGCUAACUACGUG
rnacentral:rRNA from 1 species